rnacentral:lncRNA from 1 species
GGGCGAUGAUUUUAGUUAGAAAAGUAAGCUCUGGGAAAUGGAUUGUCACAAAAUUUGUCAAGGAGCAUACACAUCCUCUAUAUCCCGGCAAAGGUCGUAAGGAUCUAAUCUAUGAUCAAUAUCCCGUAAGUACGUGCUUGCUUAAUUGUGAAGUUCUUCCAACACAUGUACAUCAAUCACUUCUAUUUUUAUUUUUAUUUUUUUCCAAAUAUUCUGUUUUUGCUUUUUACAUUUUGUGGGCACUCAAUGGUUCAUCACUAAACUCAGCUACAUGUUUUUAUUACUGAUAAAAAUCAUUACCUCAUAAUUUUAUGCAAUUCUGGAAUAAUUUUGAUAACAGCUAUCCCAGCAAUGCAUUAUGUAAUUAUAUUUUUAUAAAAAUUUGAGUCAUGCAAGUGUUAUUGCUCUGUUGGUUGAAAACUAUGUUGAGAUGCUCUUCAUGGCAGUGGAUUAGUACCUAAACUCUGAGAACAAAUCGACUAAGGGAGGUGGAAUCAAGCUAGACAAUUUACAUCAACCACACCAAGAAAAAUGCUUGAUUUGCUAUGGCAAUUAUGUCGCUGUAUGAAUGUGAAGUGUAUAAAAGAAAUCAAAAUCCACGACCCUCUUAAUUUGUUAUGAAAUAUAUCAUUGGCAGUUGUAUACAACCUAGACAUACUUUAUCUUCAAAUAAAGAUAUUGCAUGGUUCCUCAUAAAUUCAUUAACAGAAAUUUUUAAAGGGAAUGUCGAAUAUUUACCUAACUAAAAAGACAUUAAAUUUAAACAACUUUUGACUUUUCAUUAAUUAUUGUGCAGUGACAAUAUAGAAAAUUUUAUUCUCCUUUUUGAGCUACUUUGCUCUUCAUCAAGUAUUUCAUAAAAAAAAUUAUGAAUAUCUCUAGGAUGUUUCCUAUAUUCUUGUUGAUCAGCUAUUUUAAUAAGCUGUAUUUUUUUGGUAAUCAUUAAUUUGCUGCCUAGAAUUUUGAAAUAUUUAUGUCUUUAUGUGUUUAUAGCACAUUUAUCCUUUUCAUAUUUCUCAUGGAUUACAAUUUCAUAAAUGGAGCCCCUUGUUUGAAUUACGUUAUGAAUAAAGUGUUCACAUAUUGGUUGAACCUGAUUGGCAAAAAAACAAUAUUGACUAAUGAUUCUAUGUCCUACGGCUCUCACCUAUUGGUGGCUAUUGAACUACAGUGUGGUUGCAACUUUGAUGCAAGGAUUUUCACAUUUUAGUAUUCAGCAGUGCAUGAGAUUGAUUUACUUAACUCCACAAAUUAACUUCUCUCUACUAUAUAAUUCUGGACUGCAAUAGUUCUGUGGAUAAGAAAGAAAUUGAAUUGCUUAAACCCAUGUAUGAUAGCUUCGUGGCCGUUGUUUCUUGAUGUUAGUACCCAUGCCAUGUGAUAUUUUAACAUAACUAAAGGGCUUUAAGCCCAUUCAUUCUAGGUGAUUGAGAGCAAAAUGUUUGGUUGAAUCUUGCUCAACUAGGUAUUAAAAUCAGGAACUACUUCAUUGUAAUUGAGUGAGAAUAAGAUUGUCUUAUUUUCAUAGUUGUGGAUUGAGAAUCAUCAGGUACAUGAGCUUCGCUUGAUGUGGCACUUGAGUCCAAGCUCGUGAUUAAUUUUUUUUUUCAUUAUAGUUACACCAGUUAAAUUAGAAUUUACUGGAGUUUGAAGUAUUUUCAUUUCGUUUUUUAAUUUAUUGUUAUGUAGUAGUUUAAACUUUGUCUAUGAUUUUCUUCUUGGUUUUUCUCUUUAGCAGAUAUCAAUUUAAUUUUCGUUAUAAGGUGGGAUUAUUGUAAGAAAAUGGUUAUUUCAACGUCCAUGCCAUGUGGCAAGUAUUCAAUGAGGAGGGCCAGGAGGCCAUGCAUUAAUUAUAUUAUUUUGAGGAAUUGGCAUCAUAUUCAUCAUUAGGGUAAAAGGUCAGAGUGAAAAUUCAGUUCGAUGUGAAGAAGGGGCUUUGGAGGGAUGGGAAUUUUAAAUUGCUUCAAUCAUUUGAGUAAAAGAAAUUACAAAUGAUUCAAGUUCGAUGCAUGGAACACAAGGAACUCCUAAUUAUGCUUUUGUUGUGUGCAAUGUCAGCAUCUCCUCUUUUGCACACAACUUACUAUCCAUUUAGUAUUCUUGCUUGGUAGUGCUUAUAAGUUGUAGGUACUACGAAAUAUUUGGAAAAUAAAUUUAUAAUAAGUUCUGGGUCUUAUAAUAUGUACUGAUAAAAAGUAUAUUUGAUCUAGUUGUGAUAGUGAAUGUCUAAUUUGCUCAAAAUUGUUUGAAUAUCGUAUGUAUACAUAGCCCCUGUUUGAGCCCCAUUAUCUCAAACUAAUCCAAAACUUUUUCUUAUUUUUUAACUAGAUAAUCUUCAAAAAAGUACUAUUACUAAAUUCAUUAUUUGUUAAAAUUGUCGCUCAAACGGGGGCUUAAUUCUCCUGUAUUAUGCGACUUAUGCCUAAGCAUAAAUGCGCUGGGUUAUUCAGAAUACUGAGUCUCUCUGCAAGGCAUUGUUCUUAAUUGUCUGAUUAGCCAAUUCUUGUGUUUACUUUUUCCUUUCAGGUCAGGCUCAUCCACCUUCUCUUUGAUGUAAUUUUCUUAUGAACACUGCAUUGAUUGAAUGGGUUGAUGUGCACAAUAAAUGUUCCGUCUAUAACAACUAUGACUUACCUCAUUUUUGAGUUGAGUCGAACAAAUAUUUUCUCUGCUGUCUUGAAUCAGUGUAUGCUCAACAUAAUCUUGUCUUACAAUAUGAAGUUUUGUGAUCUUUUUGUGCAGAAUGAGCACGAAAAAAUCCGGGAGCUAACACAGCAGCUGGCUAUUGAGAAACAGAAAGCCGCAACUUAUAAAAGGCAAUUAGAAAUGAUAUUUGAUGAUUA